GUCGAGAAUCUUCGGCAAUGGGCGCAAGCCUGACCGAGCGACGCCGCGUGGAGGACGAAGGCCUUCGGGUUGUAAACUCCUGUCGAGGGGGAAGAAGCCGCAAGGUUGACUGAACCCUGGAGGAAGCACGGGCUAAGUUCGUGCCAGCAGCCGCGGUAAGACGAACCGUGCGAACGUUAUUCGGAAUCACUGGGCUUAAAGCGCGUGUAGGCGGGACGGCACGUCGGUCGCUGAAAGCCCCCGGCUCAACCGGGGAAGUGGCGCCGAUACGACCGUCCUGGAGGGACGUAGGGGGACCUGGAACUUCCGGUGGAGCGGUGAAAUGCGUUGAGAUCGGAAGGAACGCCCGUGGCGAAAGCGAGGUCCUGGACGUUUUCUGACGCUGAGACGCGAAAGCCAGGGGAGCGAACGGGAUUAGAAACCCGGGUAGUCC
rnacentral:rRNA from 1 species